UCUCUCUCUCUCUCUGAAUUUUGAUCUUAAUUGCGUGUUUAAGGUAUUAUUUUGGUGAAUUUUCCAGUUGGGUGUAAUCAUGUGUUUGGGAUUUCAAGAGAGCAUUUUAAUUUCCAAGCAAUUCAACUCUAUAUUUUCUAUUCAACUAUUUUUUUUUUACCCCUUACAUCCAAAAUGUAGUUUGUCAUUGCCAGCUCGUGUUAGAUUUUUAGGUCUUGGAAUUAUGGGUUCACUGAUGGUUUUGAAAGGGGUGUUGGUUUGUUCAAUGAAUCAAUGGAAGAUAGGAAAAUAAGGAUCCUUCCGGAUGGAUGUAGAUUCCAGAUCAAGAGAUUUAACAUAUAAAUUAUAAUUCAAUGAGAGUAGCUCAAGUUUGGAUUUGAUAACUUGGAUUUCGAGACUGAGAGUUUGUUUGCUCUGUAAUGGACCUAUCACCAAAUCUCCCUCAUGCUUUUAUUAUCAUGGAUUUGGAGUUACGAUUUUGCUAGGCGUGAUUUGAAAUAGGCACCAGUUUGGGAUUUUGGGUAUAUAGGGAACAUAUUGGCUUGCAGGCUUAUAGCUAUCCCUCUCACAUUCAGUACAGUUUGUUUAGGAUUUGAGUAUCUUGAUAAAUUUGGGCACGAAUUACAUCUUAUUUGUGUUCCUUUUAUUUAGGUUAGUCUAUGCUCGAAAGGAGACACUCUUUUACUGCUCCAGCCAACUAAUCUUAAUGUUCUUGCAUAGAAGGCAAAAAAUUUUCAACCGCUGACUUAAUUUUGUGAGAGUUACACCAUGAACUUACUUAUUGUGGUUAAUAGCACGGGAGAAAAAGAUAUUAGGCUCCUAGGAUGUUGGUCCUGUAUUCUUUUUAGAAAUCUCAAUGCUCUAUUCUUAGAACUGUCGGUCAGAUGUACACAACUGAGGCUUGUCUCCUUUUUCUUUGGCUCGAAAUGAUCCAUUUGAAGCCUCUUUCUUUGGCUUGAAUUUCAGUAGUGUUUGUUUAGUUCACUCUCUAGCAUCCAUUCCUAAAUAAAAAGAUUUUCUUUUUAGUAGUACAAGUAUGCAAGUCUUCUAUACAUCUUGUAAGUAUAUUUGCAACAAGUAGUUAUGUCCUUUACACUGUUGUUUGGCGAUUUCAUGUAUGUUGUGUUUUGCCACCUCCUUCCCCUCCGUUCAUCCCACAGAUCAUACAUCUUAACUUGGUUGAGGUUUUUCCUUGGAGACGUGGGGAAUGGAGCUGCAAUGAAACUUGUUGUGAGCAUGAUCAUGGGAAGGUUCUGCUCUGUGUGUGUGUGUGUGUGUUGCAGUGCUUGCAAUAUGUGACUAACUAUUGUAAAACGUCUUGCAACAUUUGCAAUAUGAUGGCAUCUUUUUCUGAAGGAUUGCUUCUGAGUGAGAAAAUAGGACUUGACCCGAGCGUUCUAGUAGAGGUAUUCUUAAGAUCGAGACAUAAAUUUCCUUUCCGCAAUUGAGCAUACUGGAUUAGCCAUUUUGUCUUUGUAAACUGGGAUGUACAAUAUUUAACCAUUUUUGCGUUGAUUCCUAGGUAGUCUCACAGGGCGCCAUUAGUGCACCUAAGUUUCGAUAAAAGGCCCUUCAAUGGUCAAUUCCUUUUUUCUGUUGCAUUUCCCCUGAAGCGUCUACAAAAGGUUUGUAACUAAACAAGAUUGUCGGUAUUGUAGUUGUAAUUCCAUGGUGUCAUUGUAGUAUGAAUUUGUCCGUGGCAGGACUUGUAGCUUGCUCUGGUAUUAGCCAAAUGCCUUUUCCAAGCUACACUGAAUGCAGCCACAUCAAACAAACUAUACAAAGGUGGUGGCUAAAUCUCGUGGCCUUGGCGACGAGGACUUCUUCCAGCAAACAAAUUAUGGGGUUUAUACAUUGCGGCAAAAUAUUAGUUUUUUGUUUGGGAAUUGAUUCUCACAGGAUUCUUCCUGUCAUGACCGCUCUACAUCAAAGACAGAUUCAAGUGGAUGUGAUUUGUCCACUGUGUAAACAAGAGGAGGAAACCAUGGAUUAUGUUGUUUCUUUGAUGCUUACACUAUUUCUGUUUGUAAGGUUAAUCGUGUUGUAGUGCAGCAAGCUGAUGUAAUAGCGGUAGGAUAUAAGAGAUCUCUUAUCUCUCCUACUACUGUGUCAAUUUGAUUGUAUAUGCAUUGUUCAUUUCUCAAAAGAAAAAACAAUUGUUGUUUGGACUUUCUUGUUUGAAAAGAGGGUAAUGACAUGCAUAAUCAA